rnacentral:piRNA from 1 species
UAAGGUGGUCUGAUGACAUCACAGCUUAGA